UACGAAGGUCCCGAGCGUUAUCCGGAAUUAUUGGGCGUAAAGCGCAUGUAGGCGGUUUAUUAAGUCUGAUGUGAAAGCUCACGGCCUAACCGUGAAAUUGCAUUGGAAACUGGUGAACUAGAAUACUGGAGGGGUAAGUGGAAUUCCAUGUGUAGCGGUGGAAUGCGUAGAUAUAUGGAGGAACACCAAUGGCGAAGGCAGCUUACUGGACAGAGAUUGACGCUGAGAUGCGAAAGCGUGGGGAGCAAACAGG
rnacentral:rRNA from 1 species